rnacentral:rRNA from 1 species
CUAGCGAACCAUGACUACGGCCAAGCCUAUUAGUGACAAUAAGGCAAGCUGCAUGCUUGCAGUUCGACUCUAGAGAUCUACUAGUCAUAUGAUAGCGAGAAAGAAACUACCAGGAUUCCUUAGUAACGCGAGUGAACCGGGAAGAGCCCAGCUUGAAAAUCUCCAGCCCCCGGCUGGCGAAUUGUAGUCUAGAGAAGCUGCCUCUGCGGAGCUCCCGGGCCCAAGUCCCCUGGAAAGGGGCGUCAGAGAGGGUGAGAACCCCGUUGGGCCCGGCCGACUCCGCCCCACGAGGCGCUUUCGCAGAGUCGGGUUGUUUGGGAAUGCAGCCCUAAGCAGGUGGUAAAUCCCAUCUAAGGCUAAAUACCGACGGGAGACCGAUAGCGAACAAGUACCGUGAGGGAAAGAUGAAAAGAACUUUGAAAAGAGAGUUAAAAAGUGCUUGAAAUUGUUGAGAGGGAAGCGAUUGGAGGCCACGGGUGCGCCCGGGCACACGCCUGCCCACCGGCAGGUUGAAUGCGCCGGGUGCUGGUCAGCAUGGGUUGGGAGGGCGGGAUAACACCGGGGGUUGCUACCCCGGCCAUGCCGCCCCCCCGACCGAGGAGUGAACGGCGCUCUCUGAGUCCUUCGGGAACUGCGUCGUCAAGAUGCUGGCGGAAGGCCUUCAAUCGGCCCGUCUUGAAACACGGACCAAGGAGUCUAACAUGUAUGCGAGCUGGUGGGUGGCAAACCCAUGAAGCGCAAGGAAACUAACUGGUGGGAUGGCCCGUGCCUGCACCACCGACCGACCAUGAUCUUCUGUGAAAGGUUCGAGUACGAGCAUACCUGUUGGGACCCGAAAGAUGGUGAACUAUGCCUGAGCAGGGCGAAGCCAGAGGAAACUCUGGUGGAGGCUCGUAGAUGUGCUGACGUGCAAAUCUGCUUUCCGGACCCUGGGUAGAGGGGGCGAAAGACUAAUCGAACCUUCUAGUAGGAUCCCGGGGGUACCGAGCUCGAAUCUCAGCUGGGGCGCGGUCUGCGUUUUAUAUACAUC